rnacentral:rRNA from 1 species
UACGUAGGGGGGCAAGCGUUGUCCGGAAUCAUUGGGCGUAAAGAGCGUGUAGGCGGCUUGGCAAGUCUGACGUGAAAAGCCCCGCGGCUCAACCGCGGAUUGUCGUUGGAAAACUGCCUCGCUAGAGUCCGGAAGAGGGUAGCAGAAUUCAUGGUGUAGCAGUGAAAUGCGUAGAUAUCAUGAGGAAUACCAGAGGCGAAGGCGGCUACCUGGACAAUUGCUGACGCUGAGGAGCGAAAGUGUGGGGAGGCGAACAGGA